rnacentral:rRNA from 1 species
AAUGAACGUUGGCGGCGUGGAUUAGGCAUGCAAGUCGAGCGAGAACCGUAGCAAUACGGGGACAGCGGCGAAAGAGAGAGUAAUACGUGGAUACCUACCCUCAGGAUCGGGAUAGCUACGGGAAACUGUAGGUAAUACCGAAUAAUAUCUCCGGAUCAAAGGUGUGAUUCCGCCGGAGGAGGGGUCCGCGUCCUAUUAGCUUGUUGGCGAGGUAACGGCCCACCAAGGCGAAGAUGGGUAUGGGGUGUGAGAGCAUGGCCCCACUCACUGGGACUGGGGCACUGCCCAGACACCUACGGGUGGCUGCAGUCGAGAAUCGUCGGCAAUGGGGGAAACCCUGACCGAGCGGCGCCGCGUGCGAGAUGAAGGCCUUCGGGUUGUAAAUCGCUGUCAGAGGGGAGGAAAUGUUGGUGGGUUCUCCCACCAAUUUGACCUAUCCUCAGAGGAAGGACGGGCUAAGUUCGUGCCAGCAGCCGCCGUAA